rnacentral:rRNA from 1 species
CCCUUAGAUGUUCUGGGCCGCACGCGCGCUACACUGACGAAUGCAACGAGCUUAUAACCUUGGCCGAAAGGUCUGGGUAAUCUCCAAAUUUCGUCGUGAUGGGGAUAGAUUAUUGCAAUUAUUAAUCUUCAACGAGGAAUGCCUAGUAAGCGCAAGUCAUCAGCUUGCGUUGAUUACGUCCCUGCCCUUUGUACACACCGCCCGUCGCUCCUACCGAUUGAAUGGUCCGGUGAAGCGUUCGGACCGUGGCCUUUGGACGGUGCGCCGUCUGUUGGCUGCGGGAAGUUCGUUAAACCUUAUCAUUUAGAGGAAGGAGAAGUCGUAACA